AUAGGGGUAUGAUAACCAUAAGUUCCAUCCUCAGCCCAUGUAGCAGGACCAUAAUAAUCAAUUAUGCAUUCAGGGGGCCACUCAUUUUCCUUCCAUUGACUUAUCGUCAGUGCCCUUUGCUGCCUUAAGAGCUAUUCAUAUACCAAGGAUCCUAGUAUCUCCCCCUCCCUUAGAGGAAGCAAGAAGAAGGAAGGUUUCAAAGUUCCUAGAACACAGGCUCCCACCCAAUCUCUGGGGAGUUCAGAGUAGGCCUUAAGGUCACAAAUCCAAUACAUAUUACUGGGCGCUCUCCAAGUGGACCUUGCAGACAAGUUGGUCCAUACAUCUUUUAGAUGUGGGUAAUUACCAAAGGGACUAGGGGAUGGUUCAGAUGCAUUUGUUGUGAACCAUCUGGAGGUAGUCCUAUCAGAAG